rnacentral:lncRNA from 1 species
GAAGUUCACUUUCUCUCUCUAGAAUUUCACUUUCUCUCUCUAGAAUUUAACUUUCUCCCUCUAGUAAAUAGACGUAGGAAGAAGGGAAAAUGGAAGUGGAUAAAAAUUAAGGGGUAGGGGUCCAUAUUUAUAGAGUUGGAGGGUCAUUGGAUGCAUGCCACUAACACAAAUCCGGUUGCACAAGUGGCAACAAGGGAGGGGUUGCCAGCGAUGGGAUCCACAUGACAGGGAAAGCCAUGCCCUGCUGGUGUGCAUGGCAUGGGUGCACUGUCACUAACAUCCUCGCUUGUGCGCAUAGUGCCUGCGCACGAGCACGCAGACAUGCGGGCUCGCGAUCGCGGGCUAUUUUCUUGCGUGUCUUGGGAUU